rnacentral:lncRNA from 1 species
AGCGCAUGGAAACUGUCAUCAUAUCUUCACUGGAAAUCAGCACGAUCUGCUUUAGUUUAAUGGCAAUUUUGAUGCCUCAUCACAGAUUUGACGGUGCUUCUGAAACAUCGUCAUAUUUUAUCUCAACUCCUCAGGUUCUGUCUAAGCUUGAUGGCCUGUCCCAUGUCAGACGAUGCUUCAGAAAUGGUGUCAGCUACACUUUAGCUUAUUCACAC